UACGUAGGGUGCGAGCGUUAAUCGGAAUUACUGGGCGUAAAGCGUGCGCAGGCGGUUUUGUAAGUCAGAUGUGAAAUCCCCGGGCUCAACCUGGGAACUGCGUUUGAAACUACAAGGCUAGAGUGUAGCAGAGGGGGGUGGAAUUCCACGUGUAGCAGUGAAAUGCGUAGAGAUGUGGAGGAACACCGAUGGCGAAGGCAGCCCCCUGGGUUAACACUGACGCUCAGGCACGGAAAGCGUGGGGAGCAAACAGG
rnacentral:rRNA from 1 species